GAUGAACGCUGACAGAAUGCUUAACACAUGCAAGUCUACUUGAACUUCGGUUUGGGUGGCGGACGGGUGAGUAACGCGUAAAGAACUUGCCUCACAGAUAGGGACAACAUUUGGAAACGAAUGCUAAUACCUGAUAUUAUGAUUUUAGGGCAUCCUAGAAUUAUGAAAGCUAUAUGCACUGUGAGAGAGCUUUGCGUCCCAUUAGCUAGUUGGAGAGGUAACGGCUCACCAAGGCGAUGAUGGGUAGCCGGCCGGAGAGGGUGAUCGGCCACAAGGGGACUGAGACACGGCCCUUACUCCUACGGGGGGCAGCAGGGGGGAAAAUUGGACAAUGGACCAAGAGUCUUAUACAACAAUUCUGUGUGCAAGAUGAAGUUUUUCGGAAUGAAAAGUGCUUUCAGUUGGGAAGAAAAAAAUGACGGUACCAACAGAAGAAGUGACGGCUAAAUACGUG
rnacentral:rRNA from 1 species